GGGGGGCGUGCCUAACCAUGCAAGUCGAGCGAGAAAGCCCGCAAGGGGGAGUAAAGCGGCGCACGGGUGAGUAACACGUGGGUAAUCUGCCCUAGAGUCCGGAAUAACUCGCCGAAAGGCGUGCUAAUGCCGGAUGAGACCACGGGAGCCUCGGCUCUCGCGGGAAAAGGUGGCCUCUGUAUACAAGCUAUCGCUCUAGGAUGAGCCCGCGGCCCAUCAGCUCGUUGGCGGGGUAAUGGCCCACCAAGGCUACGACGGGUAGCUGGUCUGAGAGGACGAUCAGCCACACUGGAACUGAGACACGGUCCAGACUCCUACGGGAGGCAGCAGUGGGGAAUCUUGCGCAAUGGGCGAAAGCCUGACGCAGCAACGCCGCGUGUGUGAUGAAGGUCUUCGGAUCGUAAAGCACUGUCGCGAGGGACGAAUAAGGGGCGGGCUAACAUCCCGUUCCGAUGACGGUACCUCGAGAGGAAGCACCGGCUAACUCUGUGCCAGCAGCCGCGGUAAUACAGAGGGUGCGAGCGUUGUUCGGAAUUAUUGGGCGUAAAGCGCGUGUAGGCGGCCUUGCAAGUUGGGUGUGAAAGCCCUCGGCUUAACCGAGGAAGUGCGCCCAAAACUACGAGGCUUGAGUGCCGGAGAGGGUGGCGGAAUUCCCGGUGUAGAGGUGAAAUUCGUAGAUAUCGGGAGGAACACCAGUGGCGAAAGCGGCCACCUGGACGGUAACUGACGCUGAGACGCGAAAGCGUGGGGAGCAAACAGGAUUAGAUACCCUGGUAGUCCACGCUGUAAACGAUGAGCGCUAGUGUUGUGGUGUUGACCCCCGCAGUGCCGCAGCUAACGCAUUAAGCGCUCCCGCCCUGGGGAAGU
rnacentral:rRNA from 1 species